UCGGCAAUGGACGAAAGUCUGACCGAGCGACGCCGCGUGCGGGAUGAAGGCCUCGGGUUGUAAACCGCUGUCAGUAGUUAGGAAGUCCAUGAGAGUUAUCUCUCAUGGUUGACCGAUCUUCAGAGGAAGGACGGGCUAAGUUCGUGCCAGCAGUCGCGGUAAGACGAACCGUCCAAACGUUAUUCGGUAUCACUGGGCUUAAAGCGUGCGUAGGCGGCCUGGUAGGUGAGAUGUGAAAGCCCACGGCUCAACCGUGGAAUUGCGUUUCAAACCCCCCAAGCUCGAGGAAGAUAGGGGUGAUGGGAACUUAUGGUGGAGCGGUGAAAUGCGUUGAUAUCAUAGGGAACACCGGUGGCGAAAGCGCAUCACUGGAUCUUUUCUGACGCUGAGGCACGAAAGCUAGGGUAGCGAACGGGAUUAGAUACCCCGGUAGUCCUAGCCGUAAACGAUGAACACUGGGUUGAGGGGACUUCCACAUCCUCUCGGCCGUAGCGAAAGCGUUAAGUGUUCCGCCUGGGGAGUAUGGUCGCAAGGCUGAAACUCAAAGGAA
rnacentral:rRNA from 1 species